UUUCUAGGUUAGUGGCGCACGGGUGCGUAACGCGUAUGCAACCUACCCUCCACAGGGGGAUAGCCUUCCGAAAGGGAGAUUAAUACCGCAUAAGACCACUGUCCUGGCAUCAGGAUGUGGUCAAAGAUUUAUCGGUGGAAGAUGGGCAUGCGUGCCAUUAGUUAGUUGGUAGGGUAACGGCCUACCAAGACUUCGAUGGCUAGGGGUUCUGAGAGGAUGGUCCCCCACACUGGUACUGAGACACGGACCAGACUCCUACGGGAGGCAGCAGUAGGGAAUAUUGGGCAAUGGCCGAGAGGCUGACCCAGCCAUGCCGCGUGCAGGAAGAAGGCCUUCUGGGUUGUAAACUGCUUUUAUCUGGGAAGAAAACGCCCCUGCGGGGGUAACUGACGGUACCAGAUGAAUAAGCACCGGCUAACUCCGUGCCAGCAGCCGCGGUAAUACGGAGGGUGCAAGCGUUGUCCGGAUUUAUUGGGUUUAAAGGGUGCGUAGGCGGCCCUGUAAGUCAGCGGUGAAAUCCCAGGGCUCAACCCUGGAACUGCCGUUGAUACUGCAGGGCUUG
rnacentral:rRNA from 1 species